rnacentral:rRNA from 1 species
UACGAAGGUCCCAAGCGUUAUCCGGAUUUAUUGGGCUUAAAGGGUUCGUAGGCGGGUUAUUAAGUCAGCGGUGAAAGCCUUCAGCUCAACUGAAGAACUGCCAUUGAUACUGAUGAUCUUGAGUACGAUUGAGGUAGGCGGAAUGUGUCAUGUAGCGGUGAAAUGCUUAGAUAUGACACAGAACACCGAUUGCGAAGGCAGCUUACUAAGUCGUAACUGACGCUGAUGCACGAAAGCGUGGGGAGCAAACAGG